rnacentral:tRNA from 1 species
GGACCUUUAGCUCAGUUGGUCAGAGCAUCCGGCUCAUAACCGGACGGCCCGGGGUUCGAAUCCCUGAAGGUCCA